GUUAGCCUGGGGCUUUCGCCUAGAAAACCUCCCUCCGGCCGCAUUCCCACAGAGUCUGCCUUGUGGCCAGAGGAGGAGUGGGAGAAAAGAAGAAGAGCCCGGAUGUGAGAAAAGCCAAGGGCACAGGCCUAUGAGAGUAAGCAGCCAGCAGCUCAGAAUGGGGAAACUUGGAGGAGCUUGGACAUCUAAUCAGAUGCGUCAAAAGUGGUGUUUCAUGUUAAUUUUGGGGACAGCCAAAUGUAUACACCGCUGCAAGAAAAGCGGAGUGUCCUGUAACGUCCAUUACAAAAGUCCGCCCUUCCCCGCCCCCCUGCUUCCAUUUUCCUUCCUAGAAACAAUGACCUUUGUCUCUGGUCUUUAAACUCCACGUUUUCUGCUUCUCGAUUUUUCAAAACCAUGCACGGGUUUCCUACCAUCAAGAUACAGAUUUCGCGGUCGUAUAUACCCUCAGCCCCUCUGCUUUUAAGUCCUAAUUUUUUGUUAAAGUACCCUUCAGGCAUGAUAUUUGACAUUAGGACUGUUUGAAUGCUCUCGUGGCUAAGCCAUAUGGUCUCAUUGCAUUUACUUUCUUGUGCAACCGUUUUUGUUCGCUCUGCCAUCAAUGAUCCCUUUGGUCUUCAUUUUCUGUUUCUCUGCGUGGAUUUUCCGUGUUCCUGUCUACCUCAUCUCCAUACUCUGUUGGAAGUGUGAACCUGCAUACUUCCACACCUGCAGGUGCCUGAGGGAGCCUCUCAGUUUCCUCCAUGUUCCCCUUAGAAGCAUGCCCUCCUGGAGCCCUCUGUCAGCCAGCUCCAAUGUGGAUUUGUCUUUUUAGGCCAGCUGGGAGUCAGUAUUCUGGGAGCUGGCUUCUCCAGCAUUCUGGGAGCUCACCCAGUUCCUGUGCGGUAUGGGAGCCCCUACUGACUGGACUCCGGAUGUUCACUCUACACUGCGGUGGGGAGAGGAAAGAGGGAAGGAAUAUCCUCUAGGGGCUUCCUGAAAAUGGAUCUGCGGCAGGAAAGGAGCAUACCCUAUGCCAGUCCAUUUUCUAGUGUCUUGUAUUUGAACUUGGAUGGAGAGCCAAGGACUACCAGAUGUUUGAGGAAAUCCUUUCACACAAAAAACAGAGACCAAAACAAGUUUGAGAAAAAGAAGAAAGAGCCAUUACCGAAUCAGAAAAUGACAUCUGCAAAUACACAAAAGCAUGAAUGCCUCUGAGACACAUUGAGAUGUUGGAAGGCCAAUGUAAUUACAGGUCUAGGCCCUUU